GAAAGGGAAGUUAGUGUUUGGAUCUCUGCACAAACCCAAACAAAGGUAGACGAACGAAAGAUGACGGAGAAUUCACCCCCAAAAACCAAAAAAAAAAAAGGGGAAGGAAUUAAAGAAAGCGAAGGCGGAGGGGAAUUGAAUUCGUGUUGAUGGCGCAUGCUGAGGGCAUUGAAAUCUUUCCGCGGGUUGGUUUCUCUGUCAGAUGAUUCCUCCCUUUUCGUCCGUCGCCCACCGACAACAAAACAGAGGAUCGAGGCCUCCGGCGAAGGACCGCUGGCACCUUUCCCCUUCUUCUAUGUUCCUCCGAGUCGACGAAGAAGGCUCUGCUUUUGCUUCUGUCGAGGCUGGAUCCGCCGACCGGCGGGAAGCUUAGGGAAUUAGGUCGGCUGAGAUCCGAGGAAGGCCGUUGGGUUGAAGGAGGCCUCCUCGGAUUCAUGGCGCCGGCUCGAUGCCAUUGGGUUCUGAGAACGUUGAUGCUUCCCGAACCAUUACCCUGGAAUUGCAAGGAUUAGGUGCUCAAGGACUCCUUGAAGCACGAGAGUCAGGGAUGCCCUUCGCGACAGCCGCGGCUCCUCGUCUGCCCCGCGGUGGUGGGAACCUUACUUCGGUCCCCGUGACUUCCACCGCGCCUCCUCUCGCCGUUCCCUCGCAGAUGAAGCUGCUCCACGGACGAAGGACGGCGCCAAUGGCUGAUCUAUCUAUGGACACUUUCAUUGGUGGUGGCACAUAAAAGAAUACUGGUAUUUCUGGAUGUCUGUCACCGGCAACUCCGUGCUCUGCAACUUCAACUCGUCCGUCAUUAGGUGAGUUGAGAUCUUAAGUGUUUGUUUCUAUUUUGAUGUUUAUAUUAAGAGAAAUCUUCAUUACAUUUAACGAACUUUAUGGUUCUGCUGAGCUUUCUACUGGGGGAUCGAUCAAUUGCUCGACCAAUCCCACAAACUCUUCAGAUUGCAGAUCAAGUCUGAUGUUUUAUGUCAACAACAUGAAGCUGCAACCAUCGACAGCUCCGUUCCUUCACAGACAACUGAACCUUGCAAACUUGCGAUACAGCCUACGCCUAUUACACACUAUUUGACAGCCAUGGGCUGGCUGGCUGGCUGACUGCAUGGAGAAGACAACAAAGUCGCUAGUAGAGCUGUUCUCUUCUGUCCCGCAACCAUCUCCACCUGCAACGAGACACAAGUUCUGCUUUAGUAUCUCUGCCGUGCUUGGAGCAGAGAGGAGAGUAGCAAAGUGGGUCCGAGUACCAGAAGUAGUCCCAGCGAGGGCGUAUCUUCGACAUCCGGUUCUCUUCGUAGGGAUACUCGGAUUCAGCGCGGCGGGCGUUGCGGAAGGCGCAGCAGCCGAUGGUGUAGAUGGCGAUGAGGAAGAUGAGGACGACGACGUUGAGGACGGACAGCUUGUGCCAGUCCCUCCGCACCUGCUCCAGCACGCCAGCCUUGCACGAGUCGCAGGCGUAGCACAGCACGUUGGCUGCGUUGUUCCACCGGUAGCAGUCCUCGUCUUGCGCCAUCACCACCCCCCCGGCGCCGUAGGUGCACGAUGUCGGCGGCUUGCAGCAGCCCGACUGCAUCGCAUGUUGACGGUGAGCGUCAGAUCAGAUACGAUCGAUCGUUCCGAUGAGUUUUGACUCGUGGUCGUAGUGACAGAAGCUACUCAUCUGAGAAGGAGACGAGGAUAGAGAGUUGCCGAGCGUUACCUGUAUCGGGGAGAGGUCUCGCUGGAGAUAGUCCAGAGGCGUCCAGAGAGCGAUCUUGGCGCAGGUCUUCGACCCGACGACGCAUGCCAUCGCCGCCUUCCAGUACUGCCGCUCCGUGAUCCUUCGGCGGAGCCAUCCGGUGUAGUCGUCGAGGCGGUACUCGUGGUAGGGGCGACCAGGGACCUGGACCCCGCCGCCGCCGGCUGUGACAGCGAAGCCGAAGGCGGUGAGGCCGAGGAGGGUCCCGAUGAGGAGCAGCAUGACGAGGAGGUAGAGCCACAGCGCCCAGGCCACGUUGAAGCACGCGCCCACGAAGCCGGCCAGGGAGACGAGGAGCACCACGAAGCCCAGCACCAGGAGCGGCGUCUGCAGCGACGACUCGCACGUCGCCGAGCUCUUCGACAUCCACAGCCCGCCGCCGAUGAUCGGGACCGACGCCAGGAGCGUCAACAGGUUCAGGCACCCGAUCACCGAGUUGCUGAAGCGUGCUCGACAGAAUAACUUGGUGUUGCUUUACGAGAGGAUAAGAGCAGAAGAGACCACAACCCUGAUGAUCCACUCCGGAGAACUUGUUCUGAUGGUACUGUAGCAAAGGGGAGUGUAUCUGCAACCCCAUGGAACAAAGGAGAGCAUCUUGUACCAAGUUGAGAGGGGGGCCGAGAAGCUAGAGAACCAUCAAGAUGACUUCUAUUAGGGUCGACGCGACUGGUUCAGGGCUCCGGAUGACGGGGAUCAGACGCGGCUCCUCUUUGGACGUUGUGGUAACUGAGGCAGGAGAUCCGGCUCAGAAAGUUCCGUGGUACCGGAUGUAUUCAGUAGCGACCGAGUACCUGCACACAGGUCGGGUCGGUAGCUCGGCCCGACCCCUCCGACGGUCUAGUCAGUGGUAGCGAAGAGGUGUUUUUUGCGAGGUUCUUCUUUCCCCCCCUUUUGCCCGUUGGGGGCCAGGGGGUAUUUAUAAGUGGGUUUGAUGUUACCUGAUGCGCCACCCUGCCGGAGCAGGGUCGUACCUCUGAUGGAGCCUGUGGGCGUCGUGGGCGUUGCGUGGAAGGUCGAGCUGCCGCAGGGUAUGGGGGGUGUCAGUCAGCGCCUUCUCCCUCCUCGGUCGAUCAUGCGGGGCCAGCCGAGGAGGUCGUUCGAGUACGAUGGUGUGGGUGCGCGUCGUGUCGCCGUUAAUGCUCGCUUUGGGGCAGUGUGCCGCGCAGGGUGUCCGACGUGGGGGGGUGUAUUACGUCAAAUCCGGGGUGUCAUGUCAAAUCAAUUUUUUACCCCUAUCAAAAUCCAUUCUGUGCAGGUGGCUCGCCACCAGA